AUUGAACGCUGGCGGCAUGCUUUACACAUGCAAGUCGAACGGUAACAGGCCUUCGGGUGCUGACGAGUGGCGAACGGGUGAGUAAUGCAUCGGAACGUGCCCAGAGGUGGGGGAUAACGCAGCGAAAGCUGUGCUAAUACCGCAUGUGAUCUGAGGAUGAAAGCGGGGGACCAGGCAGCAAUGUUUGGCCUCGCGCCUUUGGAGCGGCCGAUGUCAGAUUAGGUAGUUGGUGGGGUAAAGGCCUACCAAGCCGACGAUCUGUAGCUGGUCUGAGAGGACGACAGGCAACAGUGGGACGGAAACGCGCCCAGGCCCCCUGGGGGAGGCAGGGGGGGGGAAUUUGGGAAAGGGGGCGCAGGCCUGAUCCAGCAAGGGGGCGGGGGGAAAAAAGGCCUUGGGUUUGAAACCCGUUUUUGUGGGGAAGAAAAAGCCUCUGGCUAACACCGGGGGCGAAGGACGGUCCGGAAAAAAGAAGCACCGGCUACCUACGUG
rnacentral:rRNA from 1 species